UGCGCAGGCGGGGCAAUAAGUCAGUGGUGAAAUCCUGCGGCUUAACCGUAGAACUGCCAUUGAUACUGUUGCCCUUGAGUAGAGUUGAGGUGGGCGGAAUAUGUAAUGUAGCGGUGAAAUGCAUAGAUAUUACAUAGAACACCAAUUGCGAAGGCAGCUCACUAAGCUAUCACUGACGCUGAGGCACGAAAGCGUGGGGAGCGAACAGGAUUAGAUACCAUGGUAGUC
rnacentral:rRNA from 1 species